CCACGUCACCCGAGCAAGAUGGCGUCCUCUCCACAGAUGGCCGGUCCUCGCCUCCCCGGGGCGAGAACCCCCGCCCUCCAUCAAGGGUGGCGUUAGCCCUCUCUUGAAACCUUUGUAACUGUUAAGGCUGAAGUGCCAUUUAAAGAAAAUAGAAGGCAAAGAAAUGAGCAAUGGGAAGCUAUGUUAUCAGAUGGCUGCAGGAAACAUGGAAAUAUUCUGUCUAUACAAUAAACACUGCUUGAGGCCUCUCCUUCAUCAUCCUACAAACCAAGUGGUAGGAGAACACUGGGAGAUCUCACACCUCCAGUCUGUGCCCAGACCUGCUGUUUACUGGUAGU